AAUCUUGUGCCAGCAGUCGCGGUAAGACAAGGAAGACUAGCGUUUUUCAUCUUUAUUAGGUUUAAAGGGUACCUAGACGGUUUAUCUAGCCUUGAAAAGGGGAACAGAUCAAACUAGAGUUUAAUAUGGGAGGUAAAUUUAGUAUUGAAAGAGGAGAGAUAAAAUAUUUUUAUACUUUCGAGACUGAUAAUGGUGAAAACAAUCCUCUAUGUAAUAACUGACGUUAAGGGACGAAGGCAUGGUUAUCGAAUAGGAUUAGAUACCCUAAUAGUCCAUGCAGAAAAUGAUGAAUGUCAUAAAGAUUCUUUUUAUCCUAUUUAAGGUUUUAGGAUUUUUAUAAAUGAAAGUGUAAGCAUUCCACCUCAAGAGUACUACGGCAACGUAUAAACUGAAAUCAUUAGACCGUUUCUGAAACCAGUAGUGAAGUAUGUUAUUUAAUUCGAUAACCCUCGAAAAACCUUACCUCAAUUUGAAUUGUAAUGUGUAGUAAUAUAAUACUGAUUAUAAUUAACAUUAUAACAAGCGUUGCACGGCUGUCUUCAGUUAAUGUCGUGAGAUCUGGUUAACCC
rnacentral:rRNA from 2 species